CGAUACUUCUAUUUAUAACUUUUAAUAAACAAAUAACAAUGUAAUAUGAAUAAUAAUACCAUUUAAAUGCAGGUCAUCGUUUGGUCACCGGGUGGUGGCUGGCGAGUUUUUUGUAGUAUUGUGUAUUUGUGUUCUAGUGUUCAUUGUACAUUUAUGUAGAUGUGUAAAAUCAUAUCAGUAUGGGUGAGCAUAGAUAUACCAUAUACAUCCAAAAAUAACAAUAAUUAUUUUUACGCGAGUAUUUCCGAUUGCUGACUGACGAGUGACGAAGUGACGACGUGCACACUGCUGCUCGAGUACAAACGCUACACAUUACAAACUGUAGUCUUGUCUAUAAUAGUAUUCUUGUCUAGUAUGGUCUACUAGUCUGUAUUAAGACAUAUUAUAAUAGCGCGUUAUUCCUUAUAUUGGAUAUAUUUACGCUUUUUAUUUCUGUUUGUAAACAUUUUAAAUAAUGAAUUCUAAGAAGCCAAAAUGUGGAGCUGCAAAAGAACGCGAAAAAAAAAUUAAUUUACAAAUUGUAGCCCAAUCAUAUCAAAACAUAUUAGAUGUAUUUAAAAAAACAAAACCUAGUGGCAAUGAGUCGAAUAAUGAAAAUCCAUGUGAUCAAAUAAAUAUAGCUGCAGAGAAGUUAUAGUGUGUUAGGAAUUCUACUGCUAUAGUUCAAAACGAGCAUGAUUUAAUAAGAAAUAUUGGUUCAAGUUUAGCAUUUACUGUGACUAAAAAUCAAACAGGCACAGCU